rnacentral:lncRNA from 1 species
UCACCUUCAUACUUUACGAAUAAGUAUCUAGAUUAGAUCUAUUUAAUUUAAAUCUAUCUUCCAUAUCUACCAAUAUGAUAUACUAGUAUUUCUCUGAGUGCACCUCGGAGCUCAGAGACAGCAGUGGAGGCCUAUUGUUUGGCCAGUCUUGGCCAUGUUCGUUAAGUGGGUGCAGCAGGCGAAGGACUCGCAGGACUCGUAGCACAGUAAUUACAAGCAGACGCAGGCCCAUCUUCCAAUCGUGGUUUCCCCCAGCAGGAUCUGUCUGUGGCAAGGACAUGGUUAGUACUAUCCUGUCCUGCGCUGUCCGUCGGAGGAGUAAAUAAAACUGUGCAGACAAUUAAGUUUGUUUUGCCUGGGCAUAUUCUUUUCACC